rnacentral:siRNA from 1 species
AUUAUCCACUCAAACCCGUCACACC